AACGAACGCUGGCGGCAGGCUUAACACAUGCAAGUCGAGCGCAUCCUUCGGGGUGAGCGGCGGACGGGUGAGUAACGCGUGGGAACGUGCCCUCUUCUACGGAAUAGCCUCGGGAAGCUGAGAGUAAUGCCGUAUACGCCCGCAAGGGGAAAGAUUUAUCGGAGGAGGAUCGGCCCGCGUUGGAUUAGGUAGUUGGUGGGGUAACGGCCUACCAAGCCGACGAUCCAUAGCUGGUUUGAGAGGAUGAUCAGCCACACUGGGACUGAGACACGGCCCAGACUCCUACGGGAGGCAGCAGUGGGGAAUCUUGGACAAUGGGGGCAACCCUGAUCCAGCCAUGCCGCGUGAUCGAUGAAGGCCUUAGGGUUGUAAAGAUCUUUCAGCUGGGAAGAUAAUGACGGUACCAGCAGAAGAAGCCCCGGCUAACUCCGUG
rnacentral:rRNA from 1 species